CUUCUUAGGUCUGGCAAUUGGAAUGAGAACAAUUUAAACCCCUUAUCGAGUAUCAAUUGGAGGGCAAGUCUGGUGCCAGCAGCCGCGGUAAUUCCAGCUCCAAUAGCGUAUAUUAAAGUUGUUGCAGUUAAAAAGCUCGUAGUUGGAUUUGUGGUGUGUCCAGUCGGCCUUUGCUCUUUGAGUGAUUGUGCUGUACUGGUCUGCCAUGUUUGGGUGGAAUCUGUGUGGCAUUAGGUUGUCGUGCAGGGGAUGCCCAUCGUUUACUGUGAAAAAAUUAGAGUGUUCAAAGCAGGCUUAUGCCGUUGAAUAUAUUAGCAUGGAAUAAUAAGAUAAGACUUUGGAACUAUUUUGUUGGUUUGCGUUACAAAGUAAUGAUUAAUAGGGACAGUUGGGGGUAUUCGUAUUUCGUUGUCAGAGGUGAAAUUCUUGGAUUUCCGAAAGACGAACUACUGCGAAAGCAUUUACCAAGGAUGUUUUCAUUAAUCAAGAACGAAAGUUAGGGGAUCGAAGAUGAUUAGAUACCAUCGUAGUCUCAACCAUAAACUAUGCC
rnacentral:rRNA from 1 species